rnacentral:rRNA from 1 species
GGUUUUUAAUAUUUUUAUUUUUUAUCUUUAUGGUAAUUAAUACAAUAAUAUUUAAACCAUCAUCGAAAAGAUUAUAUUUGGUCAUUUAUUUGUCUAGUAUAAGAUUUUCGUCAUUUACUGUGAGUAAAAUAGAGUGUUCAAAGCAGGCUUAAGCUGUUGAAUAUAUUAGCAUGGAAUAAUACUAUAAGAUCUUUUUAAGAAAAUGUUUAGUUGGUUUAUUUAUUAAGGUA